rnacentral:rRNA from 1 species
AGUGAACGCUGGCGGUAGGCCUAACACAUGCAAGUCGAACGGCAGCACAGUAAGAGCUUGCUCUUACGGGUGGCGAGUGGCGGACGGGUGAGGAAUACAUCGGAAUCUACUUUUUCGUGGGGGAUAACGUAGGGAAACUUACGCUAAUACCGCAUACGACCUACGGGUGAAAUCAGGGGAUCUUCGGACCUUGCGCGUUUGAAUGAGCCGAUGUCGGAUUAGCUAGUUGGCGGGGUAAAGGCCCACCAAGGCGACGAUCCGUAGCUGGUCUGAGAGGAUGAUCAGCCACACUGGAACUGAGACACGGUCCAGACGCCUACGGGAGGCAGCAGUGGGGAAUAUUGGACAAUGGGCGCAAGCCUGAUCCAGCCAUACCGCGUGGGUGAAGAAGGCCUUCGGGUUGUAAAGCCCUUUUGUUGGGAAAGAAAAGCAGCAGGUUAAUACCCCGCUGUUCUGACGGUACCCAAAGAAUAAGCACCGGCUAACUUCGUG